rnacentral:rRNA from 1 species
UACGUAGGGGGCAAGCGUUGUCCGGAUUUAUUGGGCGUAAAGAGCGUGUAGGCGGCCAGACAGGUCCGUUGUGAAAACUCGAGGCUCAACCUCGAGAUGUCGAUGGAAACCGUCUGGCUAGAGUCCGGAAGAGGAGUGUGGAAUUCCUGGUGUAGCGGUGAAAUGCGCAGAUAUCAGGAAGAACACCUAUGGCGAAGGCAGCACUCUGGGACGGUACUGACGCUGAGGUGCGAAAGCGUGGGGAGCAAACAGG